GAAAUGCGAUAAGUAGUGUGAAUUGCAGAAUCCAGUGAAUCAUCGAAUCUUUGAACGCACAUUGCGCCCCUCGGUAUUCCGUGGGGCAUGCCUGUUCGAGCGUCAUCUACACCCUCAAGCUCUGCUUGGUGUUGGGCGUCUGUCCCGCCUCCUUCGCGCGCGGACUCGCCCCAAAUCCAUUGGCGGCGGCCCUUGCCUCCCUCUCGCGCAGCACAUUGCGCUUCUCGAGGCGCGGCGGACCGCGUCCAGCAAGCAACCGUCACACCGUCUUUGACCUCGGAUCAGGUAGGGAUACCCGCUGAACUUAAGC
rnacentral:misc_RNA from 1 species